rnacentral:lncRNA from 1 species
UGUAUGUGGGAUGCCACCACAGCAUGGCUUGAUAAGCGGUGCUAGGUCCAUGCCCGGGAUCCAAACCAGUGAACUCCAGGCUGCAGAAGGGGAGCUCGUGAACUUAAACACUGCGCCACUGGGCUGACCCAACUAACACCCUUGCACUCUCCGGGACCAGCCUUGACGUUUUACCAGCUCUGCCAUUUGCUAAUGAGUUGAACACAACCUUCGACACCUAUGUGUUUUACACUUGUCUGUGGGUCAUAUUCUAACUCUGACAGCAGAACGGCCAGGGGCUCAGCGUGGCGGUGAUGUGCGCACGAGGAGGCAUGAGGGGAUUCUUCUUCAGCAUUCACUGUGAGGACCUGGUGGAGCUCCUGGAGGUCAAACCCACAGAAGUGCGGGGUCCCCUGUGCCUGGGCCCCCUGGCAUUUUUAACUCUCACACUCGCCCAUGCUGGGCCCAGCAAUCCCUCAGUUGCAGUUCAGGUUUCUCUCCUGGCACUGGUUCCAUGGAGGUUUCUGCUUCUGGGUUUCUGCUCCGGGAAGUGUGAGUCUGUGUGUCUGCCUGUCCAUCCCUCCAGCUCUGGGGACAGUGGUUUGCCCUGUGACCUCACUUCUCUGACAGAUCUAAGAAGAGCUGCCAAUUUUCCAGAUUGUUCAGUUUUUACCUGUUGUCAGGAUGCAGCGGAAACUUCUAGGCUCCUCACACCCUGAAUCAGAGACUGAAGUUUGGCUCAUUUUUUAAUCAUCCACAAACUUUGCAUCUCUGGAAUAAGCCUGAAUUUGUUGUGAUGUAUUACAUAGAUUAGAUGUAGGCACAGACAUAGCUGCAGAUAAAUACACACACACGCAGAGCUGGAUUCAGCUUAUUCGUAUUUUGGAUAUUUGUAUUCGUUUUAAUGAAUGAUAGGUCUUUAAUUUUCCUCUUAAUUUUUCUUUUGUAGUGUCCUUGUCCUUGCCAGGUUUAGUAUUAAGAUUAUGCUGUUCUUUAAAACAAAUUAAGAAUUU